UGAUUUUAAUUAUUUGGUUUUACUUGUAAGAGGAAUUAGCUACCACUGUUUGUAAAUAUUUUUCUCUUUUUAUUUUACUGGUCCAUUUUAGAUAUACAUAAUGAUAAUAUCUACCAUAGGGAUUUUGCAUCUGGACAUGAUGUACCUUGCUUCUUCUUUUUUUUUUUUUUUUCCAUUUCCCUCCCCUCCCAUCAACCCCUCUUAUUUACAAAAGCUUUGUUUUCAUUUUUCCCUCUAUUAAUUUUUUCUUGUCUCUACCUUCCUUCCUCUUCCCUUGUUCCCAUUUUCAUUUGAACAUUUUCUUCCCAUUUUCCAAUAUCUAUUACAUAUUUUGAUCUUAAUUACACUUUCAGUUUCUCAUACCAGAGAAACCAUGCAACACUUGGGCAUACGUGUCCGAUUUAUUUCACUUAAGUGUUUGGUCUCAAGGUGCAGCCAUUUAGCUAGAAAUAUCUCUAGUGUGUCUUUUUUUGGCAGAAUAUUACCAUAUUGCAUAAAAAUACAUAUCCUAUGUCCAGUCAUUGAUUGAUGGGCAUUUGAGCAGUUUCAGAGACUUGCCAAUCACAAACUGUGCUGCCACAAUCAUGGGUGUGCCUGUAUGGUCUUGAUGCGGUACUUUUAAUUCAUUUGGGAAGAUUCGAAGAAGGGAAAUACGUGGGCUGAAUGGCACCUCUCAUUUAAGUCUUUUGAGGAAUCUCCACGCGAUUUCCAUGGACUGGUUGCACAAUCUACAUUGCCUCUAACAGUAAAGAAGGGUUUGUUUCAACAGCAUCUUCACCAGCAUUUGGUUUUGGUUGAUUUCUUCAUAAUAACUCUUCUUGCUCGAGUGAGACGGAAUCUCAGUGCUUUUUCAUUUUCAUUUCUUGAACCACCAGUGAUGCUGAACAUUUUAUCAUUUUUUUUUUACAAUUUAUACUUCUUCAUCUGUCUCUCUUCAUUGCAAGGGUCCAUAUUUAGGGUGGGCCUUUCAGUUUGGGGAGAUUCUGAUUCUUUUUUGAGUUCUUGGUAUAUUCUAGAUACUAGUCUUUUGUCUGAGGAACUUUUGCAAUUUUUUCCCAUGCUGUGGACUGUCUCUUCACUUGUUGAUGAUUUCCUUUGCUGUGCAAAACCUUUGUAAUAAGAUGAGAUCCCAGUUGUUGAUCCUUUGUGAUACUUCCUGUGUGACCAGGGUUUUAUUGAUAAAGACUUUGCCUGCACCUGUGAUUUCAGGGAUUCUAUUUAUUUUACCCUCCAGCUGAAUUAGUGUUUCUGUUUUAAUAUUUAGAUUUUUGAUCCAUUUUGAUUUUAGUUUAUUGCUGUUUAUAAACAUUUUACCACAAAUUUUCUGAUCAUUUUAGUAGCACUUAUGGGAAAGAGUUAGACUUGAGGUGGAGAUGAGAUGAGUGGACGCAGAGAGAAACUGACACAGCCUUGUAGGAUUUAGGAGCAAGAACUAGAGAAGGUUUAGAAAGGGAGGGUGAGGGGGAAGAAGAGGUUGGCAGUGAAGCCUGGGACCAUGAAACCUGAUCUGCAGGUAAUAGUUGGGGUAAACGAAGGGCAUGGUGCAGAUGCCUGGUGACCCAUUCCCUAGGGUGAGGUACAGGGCCAGCAGUCAAGGCCAGUGCUGCCCCCACCCCUAAGUGUCAUGUGUUGCUGAGUCAGGCACCACCCCUGCCUCAGUGUCUUCACCUGUAAAUGAACCUGUGGGCACCUUAUAGUUCUGUAGUCCUGCACUGAGCGGAUGCUACUUUGUGUCUCCUGAGGUGAGCUCAUCCUUAUUGCCUCCUUGUCCACACCAAAGCCCUCAGCGUCAUCCUGUUGGAGAGUUCAUUGUGGGCACAAAAAUGAUGUGAUUUUCAGAAGGAGGAUUGCGUUGUCUUAUUUAACCUGCUAGAAAUUGCAUUUUAGGGCUUCCCAGAGUCAAAUCGAAGCAUCACCAUGAAGAUGUUACAUUCUCCUUUCUCUGUGGCAGAAUUACAGUUAGAGAGAAAAAACACAGUCACAGACGUGCUGCAGUGCAUCCUGGAGCCCUUCACCUGUCCAGGCAUUAAUCUCCCAAAGCCCAAAUGUCCAGGCCUAUUUUUAAGAAUUCUCAUUGUGGUUGUGAUAAAGUACUAUUUUUAGGGACAUAGUGUCAACUUUAAUGCACCCUUUAAAUUAGUAUGCAAAUAAAAUAGGAUGCAUGUAAGGUUUCUUGUAAUGGACAUUUGAGAAGAUAUGUUAGGGAAAAUGUAACAGAAAAAUGGCCACACUUAGUAUGAGUUUGUGGUUUUUCUUGCCUGCUUUCAGUAACUUGAGAAUGUGUUCCCAGGCUUCCACUUGUCAGUCUAUGUCUCCAGUAAAUGCAUAGACAUUGCUUUCUGUCCAAGUCCUGUUAUCAAUGUCUUGGGAGUUGCAUAUGUCCCAGAAAAGGUUUCAGAACCUCAGGAGCUUUUGGUGUGAUGGAUUUUGUUUGUGUUUGUUCUCCAUACACCUCUUCCUGCAAAGGUUAGAGACUUCAUUUCUAUGGAUGGGAAAGACACAGAGAACUUGGCACCUGCCCUCUUGAGUAGUAGUCAAACACUGGGUUCCCUGAGUUUCCUGCAAGUGGAGUUGAGCCUCUGGGAAGAGACUUUUCUAUCCUGCUGACCCAACCCAGGGCCGAGCCACUGCUGGACACUGUGCAGCAGUGGAAGAGAUUCUAGUGGAGAGCUGUUGGGAGCCGCAGCCCCGAGCCCGGUCGCCUCACUUGGCGGACGUGAGGCCUGUAGUAAAGAGUAAAGCCUGAGGUAGAUUACCCCUCCCAUCGAGCACGUUAGUUUCCUGCUUACCGCGUAAGCAACCCGCUCAACAAUAUAGUCUGCCUGGCAACUGAUGAUGUUAGCCAAUCAGCUUGCCUUGCUUACUUUAACAUGAUUGGACACUGUAUCCAUAUAUAUACUGGUGCCACCCCUGGGGGGGAAGAAGAAGCCCGGAAGUGGAAGCCCAGAAGGAGCCGCGGGGAGCGGACCAAAGGAGGCUUCGGCUGGGAGCGAUCCCAGGGCAGGCUGUACGGAGAAGGAAAAUAAAAGAAAAGGUUGUCCACUGCCAGACUUUGUCGUGUGUCCUUCCUGCCGGCCAGGAGCGACAUCGACAUUUGGUGGCCCGCACGGGGACUGAUCACCCCCGAGACGUGACAGCGGACAACGCUCCAGUACAGAGCUGCGAGACAGGAAUCGGGACGAGAACCACUGUGGGUACCGGAGAGACUGACACAGGCGACAAAGCCCUCGACUGAAGAUCAGACCUGCCCUACCGGAGAUCCAUCACAGACCAACCAACAAGAUGAAUAGAAAUAGUGGUAGCCCAAAAUGGACAAGAAGAUCCUCAGGCAUAUGCAUGGCUCGCUCGCCUAGCCUACGACCGAGUCUAGGGGUGGUGAGCUUCCCACACUCCUCCUCUAAAAAAUUAUGACAUAGCUGGGUAGGAGAGUCAAUGACGGGUAAGAGCGUACUCCCCCGGUGCGACUCAACCUAAGCCAGGCCCUACCCCAUCCUGCACGUAAGCCGCUGGACUGUUAGAUGCUGCCCAGGUCUAAAUUUCUCUCCGAGGGGAUUUCUUUACGGAGAGGAAAUGAGUGCAAGCUUGUGUGCAUCCAGGUUCUGUCCAGUUUGUGCCUGGCCCUAGAAAAAUGACGAGGGCCUCAGGGCCUUGGCAGACCAUGGGACGGCCGACCAGGGUCUAAGCCAAGGACCUACGGUGGGCCUACGCAUAGGGCAUAAGCCUCUGCACCCAGUCCAGGAAGGGCUACGAUGCGCACAUUUAUAAAAAAAAUAAAAAAGGGGGAGAUGUUGGGAGCCGCAGCCCCGAGCCCGGUCGCCUCACUUGGCGGACGUGAGGCCUGUAGUAAAGAGUAAAGCCUGAGGUAGAUUACCCCUCCCAUCGAGCACGUUAGUUUCCUGCUUACCGCGUAAGCAACCCGCUCAACAAUAUAGUCUGCCUGGCAACUGAUGAUGUUAGCCAAUCAGCUUGCCUUGCUUACUUUAACAUGAUUGGACACUGUAUCCGUAUAUAUACUGGUGCCACCCCUGGGGGGGAAGAAGAAGCCCGGAAGUAGAAGCCCAGAAGGAGCCGCGGGGAGCGGACCAAAGGAGGCUUCGGCUGGGAGCGAUCCCAGGGCAGGCUGUACGGAGAAGGAAAAUAAAAGAAAAGGUUGUCCACUGCCA